UGGGGAAUAUUGCACAAUGGGCGCAAGCCUGAUGCAGCGACGCCGCGUGGGGGAUGACGGCCUUCGGGUUGUAAACUCCUUUCGCCAGGGACGAAGCGUUUUGUGACGGUACCUGGAGAAGAAGCACCGGCUAACUACGUGCCAGCAGCCGCGGUAAUACGUAGGGCGCAAGCGUUGUCCGGAAUUACUGGGCGUAAAGAGCUCGUAGGUGGUUUGUCACGUCGUCUGUGAAAUUCCACAGCUUAACUGUGGGCGUGCAGGCGAUACGGGCUGACUUGAGUACUGUAGGGGUAACUGGAAUUCCUGGUGUAGCGGUGAAAUGCGCAGAUAUCAGGAGGAACACCGAUGGCGAAGGCAGGUUACUGGGCAGUUACUGACGCUGAGGAGCGAAAGCAUGGGUAGCAAACAGGAUUAGAUACCCUGGUAGUCCAUGCCGUAAACGGUGGGCGCUAGGUGUAGGGGCCUUUUGGGGUUUCUGUGCCGUAGCUAACGCAUUAAGCGCCCCGCCUGGGGAGUACGGCCGCAAGGCUA
rnacentral:rRNA from 1 species